rfam:Camelus ferus unplaced genomic scaffold scaffold570, whole genome shotgun sequence.
GAGGGUAUAGCUCAAUAGUAGAGUGUAUGCUUAGCAUGCAUGAGGUCCUGGGUUCAAUGCUCAGUUCCUCCA